rnacentral:rRNA from 1 species
GACAGAGGCCUCAAGCGUUAGGCGGAAUCACUGGGCUUAAAGCGUGUGUAGGCGGAUCGUUAAGUGUCUUGUGAAAUCCCACGGCUCACCCGUGGAACGGCUGGGCAUGCUGGCGAUCUUGGGCCAACUAGGGGCAGCCGGAACAAGCGGUGGAGCGGUGAAAUGCGUAGAUAUCGCUUGGAACGCCGAAGGUGAAAACAGGCUGCUGGGGUUGCGCCGACGCUGAGACACGAAAGCCAGGGGAGCAAACGGG